rnacentral:rRNA from 1 species
CCUACGGGAGGCUGCAGUCGAGAAUCAUUCACAAUGGGGGAAACCCUGAUGGUGCGACGCCGCGUGGGGGAAUGAAGGUCUUCGGAUUGUAAACCCCUGUCAUGUGGGAGCAAAUUAACAAGAUAGUACCACAAGAGGAAGAGACGGUUAAUUCUGUGCCAGCAGCCGCGGUAAUACAGAGGGCCCAAGCGUUGUUCGGAGUCACUGGGCGUAAAGGGUGCGUAGGCUGUUUCGUAAGUCGGGUGUGAAAGGCGCGGGCUCAACCCGCGGACGGCACAUGAUACUGCGAGACUAGAGUAAUGGAGGGGGAAGCGGAAUUCUCGGUGUAGCAGUGAAAUGCGUAGAUAUCGAGAGGAACACUCGUGGCGAAGGCGGGUUCCUGGACAGUAACUGACGCUGAGGCACGAAGGCGAGGGGAGCGAAAGGGAUUAGAUACCCCGGUAGUC